UACGUAGGGGGCAAGCGUUGUCCGGAUUUAUUGGGCGUAAAGAGCGUGUAGGCGGCUUUGCAAGUCCGUUGUGAAAACUCGAGGCUCAACCUCGAGACGUCGGCGGAAACCAUCUGGCUAGAGUCCGGAAGAGGAGAGUGGAAUUCCUGGUGUAGCGGUGAAAUGCGCAGAUAUCAGGAGGAACACCAAUUGCGAAGGCAGCUCGCUGGGACGUUACUGACGCUGAGACGCGAAAGCGUGGGGAGCAAACAGG
rnacentral:rRNA from 1 species